rnacentral:rRNA from 1 species
GGACUGUAGUCUGCAACCCGACUACACGAAGCCGGAAUCGCUAGUAAUCGCGGAUCAGAAUGCCGCGGUGAAUACGUUCCCGGGUCUUGUACACACCGCCCGUCACACCAUGGGAGUCGGAAAUGCCCGAAGUCAGUGACCCAACCGUAAGGAGGGAGCUGCCGAAGGUGGAGCCGGUAACUGGGGUGAAGUCGUAACAAGGUAGC